AAUGGAAUGGUUAGAUCAUAUGGUGAGUGAAUAUUUAACUUUUUAAGAAACUGCCAAACCACUUUGAAAACUGCCUGUACCAUUUUACAUUCCUUCUACCAGU
rnacentral:pre_miRNA from 1 species